CGAGCUUAUCUGGAUUCCCACCAUGGCCUGGGCCCCUCUGCUCCUCACGCUGCUCACGUACUGCUCAGGGGUCAGUUCACAGCCCAUGGUGACUCAGGAGCCCUCGAUAUCAGUGAUCCCAGGAGGGACUGUUGCUCUGUCCUGCAGCCUGAGCACUGGAGUCAUCACCACCGGCAACUAUUCAGGCUGGUUCCAGCAGAAACCUGGCUCUGCUCCUCGGCAGUUUAUAUACUACACUAAUAACAGACUCUCAGGGAUCCCUGCCCGGUUCUCUGGGUCCAUAUCCAGUAACGACGCUGCCCUGACCAUCAUCGGUGUCCAGGAAGAGGAUGAGGCUGACUAUUACUGUGCUGUGUGGACUCGUAGUGCAAAUCACAGUGAUCAAGCCAUAUGGGGAAGUGAGACAAAAACCUCCCGUCUUCAUCCCCUGCUCCAGCCUGUGCUCGGCACUGGCUGCACAGUUUGGUUCUUGCCUGCAAUUGAUGAAAUAACGAUUGUUCCUCCUUAG